UGGGGAAUCUUGGACAAUGGGCGCAAGCCUGAUCCAGCCAUGCCGCGUGGAUGAUGAAGGCCUUAGGGUUGUAAAAUCCUUUCGCCGAGGACGAUAAUGACGGUACUCGGAGAAGAAGCUCCGGCUAACUUCGUGCCAGCAGCCGCGGUAAUACGGAGGAUCCAAGCGUUAUCCGGAAUCAUUGGGUUUAAAGGGUCCGUAGGCGGUUAGAUAAGUCAGUGGUGAAAGCCCAUCGCUCAACGGUGGAACGGCCAUUGAUACUGUCUGACUUGAAUUAUUAGGAAGUAACUAGAAUAUGUAGUGUAGAGGUGAAAUUCGUAGAUAUUCGGAAGAACACCAGUGGCGAAGGCGACUGACUGGACAAGUAUUGACGCUGAGGUACGAAAGCGUGGGGAGCAAACAGGAUUAGAUACCCGAGUAGUCCCUGAGCGGGCUGGCAAGGCGCAU
rnacentral:rRNA from 1 species